rnacentral:rRNA from 1 species
UCCUACGGGGGGCAGCAGUGAGGAAUAUUGGUCAAUGGUCGGGAGACUGAACCAGCCAAGCCGCGUGAGGGAGGAAGGUACAGAGUAUCGUAAACCUCUUUUGUCAGGGAACAAGGACUGGGACGCGUCCCCGGAUGAGUGUACCUGAAGAAAAAGCAUCGGCUAACUCCGUGCCAGCAGCCGCGGUAAUACGUAGGGAGCGAGCGUUGUCCGGAUUUACUGGGUGUAAAGGGUGCGUAGGCGGGUAAGCAAGUCAGAAGUGAAAUCCAUGGGCUUAACCCAUGAACUGCUUUUGAAACUGUUUU